UACGUAGGGGGCAAGCGUUGUCCGGAUUUAUUGGGCGUAAAGAGCGUGUAGGCGGCCAGGUAGGUCUGCUGUGAAAACUCGAGGCUCAACCUCGAGACGUCGGCGGAAACCAUCUGGCUAGAGUCCGGAAGAGGAGAGUGGAAUUCCUGGUGUAGCGGUGAAAUGCGUAGAUAUCGAGAGGAACACCUGCGGCGAAGGCGGGUUGCUGGGCUGACACUGAGGAACGAAAGCCAGGGGAGCAAACGGG
rnacentral:rRNA from 1 species